ACAGUCGUGGCCGAGUGAUUAAGGCGAUGGACUAGAAAUUUAUUGGGUCUCCCCGCACACGCUCGAAUCCUGUCGACUGCA
rnacentral:tRNA from 1 species